rnacentral:lncRNA from 1 species
UCUUUCUCUCUUUUUCUCUUUUUUUCGCAGCACCUCUUAUUUCUUCUCUUUUUCUUCUGAUUUUUCUUGUUUCAGCUGGACAGAGGUCGUGUUUAUAACAUGAGUAGUGCCGCCAACCUUGUUUCCUCCACUGGUGCCGCCAACAGGGAGUCCUCAACUGGUGCCGCCAACCCCCUCUCCUUGUUUGGUGUCGCCAACCUGCUUCCCUCCACUCAGGGAGUUGUCAAAUCGGUCCAGAUUUUUUUUCCCUGCUUUUUUUUUAGUUUUUUUUAUAUAUUUUGGUAAAUAAAAAAAUUUAUAAAUAUUUUGGUAAAUAAAAAAAGAUUAUAGCAUUUUGGUAAUUUUUAAUUUUUUCUAUAUUAUUUUUGUAAAAAACCCAACUUUUGGCAAACUAAGCUGUCGGCACCAAUAAUUUUGCAAGUUAAAUAUCACAGUGGAUAAGUUGUGCUUUCCCUGCAUAGGACAAAUGUUUUGCUACCCAGCUUUGUAAUCUCGCAGUAAUCUUCUCAAUUAAUGGAGCAAAAUCUCGAGCAGUGAGUCUUUUGGUAACUAGAGGGACUCCCGAAUAUUUGACAGGUAACUUUUCAAAAUUAAUUUCUGUCUCAGCUUAAAUUCUAUGCUAUUAUUCUAGAGAUGACAAUGGAGCGAGUUAGAGAUGAAUGUUGUUAAAUUUACCGUUAACAUGCACUAUUCUACUAUCCGUUCCAUUUUAUUAUAGAUGUAUAAUUUUAAAAUUCACUAUCACCUUUAUGAAUGUUGAAUGAAUGCAUCUCGUCCUACCUUAUUCUGCUUCAAUUUAAUUUUUACCAUGUAUCUUUAAUAUUUUCAUUAUUUUUAUAGUUAAGUAAAUAUUUAAAUAUAAUUAUUCAAAAAAUAUUUAAACAUAAAAUAUAUGAUUUUUUUAAUUUUUUAAUAGUUAUAUAAGGGUAAAAUGAUAAUUUUAUAUAGUGGAGCAAACAAUUAUUAUAACUGUUUUAUACUUACUGUGCAAAAGAAAAAAUCCGUCCACUCCACUCCACAUUUUUUUUUAAAUCCACUUCAUUUAAAGCGGAUCAAUUAGAAUUUAUCAAACAAUUCGAUUUUUACCAUCCCUAAAUUCCUCCUUAGUAACAUUUGUAGAAAAAAAUUCACUUUUUACUAGGUUAAAAUUUAAACCAACAACUUAUAGAAUUUGUGCAACACAUUUCAAAUUCCUAUAACAGAAUCCAAGUUACUCUUAGAAAAAAAAUUAACAAAUAACCUUCAAAACAAAAAUGAGUUAAUUUUAUCCUAUGAAAUUUUGAUUUUGAUUCAAUUGUAUGUAUUUAAAAAAAUUAAUACAUACAUUUAUUUUUGUAUUGAAUUAAUUUAUUAACGUAAAAUUGUACUAACUCGAUAAUAUUAUAAGUAAUUUGUAAAAAUUAAAUCAACUCAAAAUUUAAUACAUAAAAUUAUAUAAAAUCAGAAUUCAUAUAUAGCCUUACAUAUUGAAUUAAAGAUUAUGUAUAAAAUUGAUAUUUAUCAUAAACCUAAAUGGUAUUAGUGUAAUUACAUAUUUAGAGUAUGAGCUUUUUGGGUAAAGAAAAAAGUACCAACUAAUUUUGAAUAAAAGUGUUUUUUUUUUUUGUUUAUUUAUGCCAUUGGCAAGAUUUUUGAAACAGCGGGACUUGGCCGAUCCGAAUAAAAACAUUUCUAAAUUUCAAAUCUUCUUCCCUCUCUUUAUAUCGCUCACCCAGUGAAGAAACAUUCAUCGUCUCUCCCAAAACCCUAAGCUCUCUCCGAUCUCCGUUAGUUCAUUUCAUCUCUCUAGCAGCCAAUCGAGCGAUGACAUCUGUCCACCCGCCACCGGUACCAGGUCGCGAGCUCUCUAACCCUCCGACGGACGGGAUCUCGAACCUUCGGUUCUCUAAUCACAGCGAUAAUCUACUCGUCUCUUCAUGGGAUAAGGUGCUCCCUCAACACCAAAUACCUUUAAAUAUUUUAAGUUUCCUUUUAUUAUUUUCAGUGAACAGUUCUCUUUUUUUUUAAUCGUAGACUGUGAGAUUGUACGAUGCAAGCGCGAACGUUUUGCGAGGAGAGUUCAUGCACGGUGGGCCGGUACUUGAUUGUUGCUUCCAUGAUGAUUCAUCUGGGUUCAGUGCUAGCGCUGACAAUAAAGUUAGGAGGUCAGUGAAUUGGAUCUAUUUUUUGCACUAAUAUUUCUGGUUGAUUCUCGAGAAAGGUUAGGAAAAAUGAAUUUAGUAUCAAACUUAAUUUUGAGAUGCUAAUUUUGUAGGAUAAUGUUCAGCCAUGGAAAGGAGGAAAUAUUAGGUAGACAUGAUGCUCCUGUACGUUGUAUAGAGUAUUCUUAUGCAGCAGGUUGGUUAAAAUUUUCAAAUAAUCUCUAUUGACUUCGUUGUUUUAAAUUGGAUUUGAAUAUGAUUUGUCUUUGAUCUUGCCUUUCAAAGUAGGAUUUUCUGAGUUUUGAUUUUGGAAAAGACAUUAAUCCGAAUAAUUAAGGAAAUGAUAGGAUAGAGUGAGUUUCUAGAAAGAUGAUUGGUUAUUCCGUAGUCACAAGUUUCAUUGAAUCCUAUCCUUUAUGAAUUAGAUUUUGAAGCUUAGAUGAGUUUCAUGAUGGUGCUAUGGACUAUGUCUUCGUAGGAAUAUACUACACAGGGUAUUGAGCAUGUGUCGUUUUGUUUCAUUUAAGUAAAUGUCUGAAUCCUUAAUGUUUGAUCUGUUGUUAUAGGACAAGUGAUCACAGGCAGUUGGGACAAGACAUUGAAAUGUUGGGAUCCAAGAGGUGCAAGUGGGCAGGAGCGUACUCUUGUCGGCACAUACCCACAACCUGAACGUGUUUACUCGCUAUCUCUUGUUGGAAAUCGUUUAGUCGUGGCAACUGCUGGAAGACAUGUAAAUGUAUAUGACUUGCGAAACAUGUCUCAACCUGAACAGCGAAGAGAAUCUUCAUUGAAGUAUCAAACUAGAUGUGUGAGAUGUUAUCCAAAUGGAACAGGUAAUGUUUAUAACUUUUAAAAGUUUUAUAAGUUUUUACAAGGAAAGAAAGUACUCUUUAAAGGAAGGCUCACAUUAUACAAGCAUUUAAAUAAGUUAGUAUUGCAUGAUUUUAGAUCUCUUAUCCAUUUAUCUUCGCCUAUUACUUUUUUGGGUAUAAUUGCUUCUUAUUAAACAAGUUUAUACAGGGUAUGCUCUUAGUUCGGUUGAAGGGCGAGUGGCAAUGGAGUUCUUUGAUCUCUCAGAGGCCAGUCAAGCCAAAAAGUGUGCAUUAGUCUUUUCCUUUUAGCACUAUAUAAGUCAUGUGGAUAGAUACGAACUCUAGAAACUGUUCUGGAGCUGAUCCUACCUGUUCUUCAUUUAUCUUUUUGCAUUUAUCCAUUGAUAUUUUGUAGGUAUGCCUUCAAGUGCCAUCGAAAAUCUGAGGCUGGACGGGACAUUGUAUAUCCAGUAAAUGCCAUUGCAUUCCAUCCUGUGUAAGUUUCUGCAAAAGUUUUCAACUCUUUAUUUAUUAGAAGCUGAUGAGGCUGAAAACCCGAGCAGCAUCAGCUCAGCUGGAUAGUAUAUUAACUAUAUGAUGUAGUACGUGGACCAUAGAUUAUACUGCAGGCACUGCCAUUUGGAGCAUUUUGUCAUUUGUGUAGUGUGACAGGCCGGAACAAAUGACAAUUGGUAAUUAGAAUAUUAGAUUCUCGUCUUGGAAAGUUAAUGAGUCAUUUUUCCUCUUAUUUGAUUCAACUAUUGUUGAGAAAAUAUAUAAAUUGCUGACUUUGAACUUCCGUGUAAGACAUUAGGUUACAGUUUAUUGGUAAUGCUUUUGUGUUGGCUCAGCUAAAAUAUUUUUUUAUGAAAGAUUGGCAAGAUCUUGAACAUAAUUAAUAUUAGCUUGUUUCCAUUCGAAUCAUUUCUAAUUUCUUCAUUGACUUUCAAUCCUGCAGAUAUGGUACAUUUGCAACUGGAGGUUGUGAUGGUUUUGUUAAUGUGUGGGAUGGAAACAAUAAGAAGAGGCUGUAUCAGGUAAAGAUUGGAUCGAAGUGCAAUUUCAUUUCUGUUAAAAGAGCUGAUAAUUUACUACCAUCAUUAAAUGAUCUUUUUGCAGUAUUCAAAGUACCCAACAAGCGUUGCCGCUCUUUCAUUCAGCAGAGAUGGGCGACUAUUGGCCGUUGCUUCGAGUUACACAUUCGAAGAGGGAGAUAAAGCGUAAGAUUCCUCUCAACUCUCUCCCUCUUUUUCUGACCCCAAAAUGAAGGUUUAUGGUAUACACAUAGUCGAGCUCUAAUUUCAGAUCCUUCUCUUUUGUGCAGACAUGAACCAGAUGCAAUCUUUGUACGUAGCGUAAAUGAAAUUGAAGUCAAGCCAAAACCAAAGGUAUAUCCUAAUCCUCCAGCGUAGCUGAUUAAGCAUAUUUUUAUCUUCUAUGUGGUAAUUCUAGAUGUGUGAGAUGUUAAUUGCUUUGUAAGGCUCGAGUGAAUGGUCUGAACCAUGAAACUAAACUUUUUUUAAUCAUAGGCUAGAGAGUUUUUUUUUUCCUCACAUCCUCUGUGAAUUUGUUACAACUAGACUCUAAUACCCCUUUUUCCCACUUUCUGUUGAAAAGUGUUUAUAUUGUUUUCAAAUGUUAACAGUACUUAGAAUCUGUUAUGGUCUAUGUUCUAAUUUCUUUUUUUCUUUCUCUUGAAGUAUCUGUGUUAAAACAUGUAUUAAUGUGCGAGGCUACAUCUUUCAAAUAUAUGGGGAAAAUUUUGAAUGUGUAGACCAUAUUAAUGAAGUUGAAGCAUUGAGACAACUAAAAAUUUAAAUUUGGUUCUUAGUCCUUGUAUUAUGUAUGUAUUAUGAGUUUAUUUAAAUUAGUUAACUUUAGUCCUUUUUACUUUCGAAUUUUUAAUUUUUAAUUUUAACCUGAUAAUUAAAUUUGAUUGAUUAAAUUUUGCAAUUAAUCAUUUAUCAUACAUAAAGUUAUAAAUUUAGUUUAUAUUCUUCAAUUUGAAUUUUCUUAUCAUAUGUUUGGUAGGAAUAUUAUUUUUUAU